UACGUAGGGGGCAAGCGUUGUCCGGAUUAUUGGGCGUAAAGAGCGUGUAGGCGGUUAUACAGGUCCGCUGUGAAAACUGGAGGCUUAACCUCCAGACGUCGGUGGAAACCGUAUAACUAGAGUCCGGAAGAGGAGAGUGGAAUUCCUGGUGUAGCGGUGGAAUGCGUAGAGAUCCGGAAGAACACCGGUGGCGAAGGCGGCCUGCUGGGCAGUAGCUGGACACUGAGGCGCGACAGCGUGGGGAGCAAACAGG
rnacentral:rRNA from 1 species